GAGAAUCUUCUGUCAUGGAGGAAAUCUGUAGAGUCUCAGACAGUAAUGAAGAAGAGGAGAGAAUUUGGAAUUUGGAGGAAUGAUAGAAAGACGAAGUAUAGUUGUGACCAGAGACCGUAGGUCCUAACAACGGUGAGGGAAGAAGUAAACCAAGAGAAGAAGAAAAGUAUAUUGUCUGAGACCACGCUGCUUUCGGUGAGAGGGCCACAGUUCAAACCCAUGUCUACUGCCACUAAAAACCGCCAUUAAGCUGCCUCUCUUCACAGUGAGGAGUGAAUAGGGUGGAUAUACAAACAUUGUGUAAUACAGACAAUGUCAAAACUCCAUGAACUAUAGCCCAAGUUUUCAUUGUACUUACUGAACAAUACAGGGGCUCUGGGGGCCAGAAUAAACCCGUAAAGUGCCCAUGAAUUUUAACCAAAGACUUCCAGCCCUACAUGAUUAAAAGCUUUAAAUUCUCAAAGAGCAACAUGAUUAAUCCAGUACCACAGUGCUGAGUGGCUUCACACUGGCUUCAUUUGUUGAAUGCAAGCCCAAGAGAUGCCUAUGAAGAUGGAUUCACACACCUGCGGCGGCUACCGGGACGGCGGACAUAAACGCUCCUUUUAGUUCAUUUUAUGUUUAGUAGAAAUGAAGGCAGAUGGUGUAGAUGGGUUUCUAUUCUGGUUUGUUUCCUAACCUGGCUAUUUUUAACAAUUUCUAGGACCCUAAACUUUUUCUUGAUGGGUCAUCCCAGCGCUAAAAAUUAAACAGUACCUGCAACAGCUUCUAGCCCAACUCCAAAGUGGAGAAAAUCCAUUUUGUGUCUUCUGUUUGACAUGGCUUCAGGUGAACUACUGGUAGAAAACUAAAGAUGACAUGCUGAACAAUCUAUUUGUGCUCUAAUUCUAUAACAUGUCGCUACUACCGAGUUAGAAAUAUAAUAAUAUUUCUGCUACGUGCUGUGAUUCAUCUCUGAGAGAAAAGAGAGAUAGGGCCACCGACAUGUGUCUCUGAUAUCAGUGCUAAGUCAUUUCAAACAUAAAGUGGGCUUCAAGGUAUUUUUGAAUGGGUCAGCCAAUUGAGGCUUUGCUUAUCACCUUAACAUGUAAUUUCCUGCAUCCUAACAAUGGGGAAUCACAUGAGAAAUAAUGAACUUUAGGUAUUUCUUCCUAUCCGCCCCACCGUCCCCGUGGUUCAGCUGCAGACAUUGAAGUUCCAUGGGCCAUAGUUAUCCAACGGCACAGCUUUCAAAGCUGAAAUUCAUGUCAUAGGACUUUGAGAAUGACCAAAACUUCAAAUGGAAAGAUCACUUCCUCUUCAUCAGUGUGUAAAUACCCUACAUCUUUCUUGUGUUUUUAUUCUUUGGUGGGAACUGGGGAUGAGCUGCAACUUUUAAGACUAUUUCACUUGAACAGCCUUAAAUAUUAACUUGUGGCUGCUCGCUAUUGAACAACCACAGAGAAAUAACCAAAGAUUAAUAAACGUUGCUCAAUUUCAUGGUUGUUGUUCUUGGGCAAGUCCUUCCUCACAGUAUUUGGAGUGUACACAGCAGCUGCAAGCUUAAAAUGAAAGGUUUUUCAACUUCACCUCUUAGCCUCUGUAAUAUUUCAGCUAAGCCUGCCUGAGGACUUCCUCCCUUUCUUUGAUGGAAAUAAUAAACUACGAUGAGUUUGCAAUAACAGCUCUCAUUCCCACCACCGUCUUCUUUCUAAAAAGUGGAACAAUAGCUCCUUAUAUUGCUGAGAACAAGACCCUCCAGAACAGUGGAGUUCAGAAUGCGGAGCUGGAAUGGAGCUUUCUUCACACAAAGUGCCACAAAGGUCACGGAAACACAUCUUCACAUUGAGUUGCCAUGGAUGCCUUAUGAUGCUGUAGUGACACUCCUCUCUUUCAGCGAGUGGUGAUGUACACUCUAAUUAACAUGUCAGAAAGCAAAGCCACUGGGCCACAAGAUCAUCCUAGUGCCUUAGAAGUUCCCUGUGCCCACUGAUCCCUCCACACUUGAUUAUUCGACUGGAAAAAAGAUAAUAUUCAUUUUUUGCCUUUUCUUUUUCAUUUUUAUACCUACUCUAUCAAUUUAGAGUGAAAAUAUCUCUGAAGGAAAGAUACCACUUGCUCCAAAACCAGGUCCAGAGAGGACGGGUCAGUUUUUAGUGCAAAAAUGAGACUUCUUAGGCACAUGAAUUUCACAAGUCACUUCCUCCCUCAUAUGCCUGCCAGGCCAGCGAGGCCUACAAAUCUGUGCUAUGAAGUGGCGACUGGACCACCAGGAUACAGGUGUAAACAGCCAUACUGGGAGCUACGUCAGGGCUGAAAGGUCUCAGUAUGCAGGCACAUCAUCCCUGAAGUGCAAGGUCGCUAAGCAGAAGUUCAGGGUUGAUGGCCACUAUUGGCUUUUUACUUACAGAUAAAUGAUGCAAGUUUUCAGGUAUAAACCAAGCCUGGGCAGAAAAAUGUCACCUAGAGUCAUCAGUUCUGGGCUACAGAGAGCCAUCAAUCCGAAGAGAUGCCUGGGAGUUUCCUCCUACAUGCGAACUCCAGUGCCAUGGAGAUGGAGGAGUGCUAUCUUCAGCCAAUGACUCUGCAGUGUCCAGCUCUCCUCCUUGAAGAGAUCGAUGUGGAGGUGGCAGGAGUGAGCAGAUGGACUGCCGCGGUCCGGGGGAAUCUGGAUGUAAACUCUUCAGGCGUUGGAGUAUUCCUGCGAGCAAGUGGGCACGCUCAGUUUAUCUACACUGUCUGCUGGGUCUUCACAGUGCUAGGAAGCGAGCUGUCAGGACUCAGUGUUUUGGGGAACUCUGGAGAAAUUGGGGUUAGGGGAACCUGCUUACUUCUUGUAGAAGUGCCAAUCACUGCAUCUCUCGAUGCCUUGAAUCUACUCUGCAAGCCCAUCAUUACACAGAGGUUAUGUCUGUGAAUUCAGGUUGUCAUCCAAGAUAAGCUGUGUGGCUUUUGGUGCUACAUUCCUCUUUAUAGGAUGUAUCUAUAUGUAAAACAUACAGCAAAAAUCUUAGGGAUGGUCUAGCUCCUUUUUUUUUUUCCAGAGAAAACAGCUAAUAAUAUUGACCUGAAUAAACGUAAAAGAGAAGACACAUCCUACUAAGUACUUAUAAUUCCCAACCUCCCCAAAAGAUAAAUGGACCUGCUUUUUUUUAUUCUGAGACCGUGAAGGCAUGUAUAUUCAGAAAAGGUAGUUACCUUUUAUUUAUUAGGUCAUUUAGAAAAACAAAAGCCUCACCAUUCUUGGCUAUGAAGAGGGUGUGAGUGUGUAUAGGAUUAUCUAUGAAGAGCUGUGGCUUCAGCAGGGUGAAAAUAUCAGGAGAUAAUGGUUUCUUUAGACAUAGUACCUAUUUCAAAGAGAAAUGGAUGGGAAAUCAGUUAUAGCCUAGCUGCUGAAAAUCCAGGAUUGAAAUCUCAAGCCUUGAGAGGUUAUAAUAUAUCAUAAGGAAAGGUGAGGUACAUGUAACAUUUCAAUCCUUGGCUCUCGGGGCAGGAUAGGGGAAGAGAAAUGGGAAAGAGCUUGCCCAUCCCACUGCCUUAUUUCAAUCACUAAAUCAAAUGGGAAGGAGUUACAGGAAUGUUUCUGAGAAGACCAAAUUUCAAAUAUGAUUGUGCUAAUAUUUUGGGAUAAAUAAUCAUGACAUUUAAGAAUGUCUUCCUUCUGGCUGCUGGGUAGUAUGGUCAAUCAUCUUGGAUAUUAAGAAACAAAAUUACAACACUGUAAAAUAUUUUUCAACAGGCAAUAAGAGGAAAUCAGAAUACACACCUGGCCCAUUUAAGCCACAGACCAUUACUUCCAGAACGCUAUGUAUCAUCACAUAGAGUAGAGAAGAAAAGCUGUAGACUGGCCUGCCUCAACACUGUUAUGUAUUCAUUGUUGCAAUUAUGCUACAGCUUUGGCUCUGGGGUAAAGAGCAGUGAAAAGGAUCAAGUUCAACGACAUUCCUGCAUUUUUCAAACUAGUGUCAUAGACUCAUGGGAUCACCGUGGACUAGUAUUUUUACUCCAUGCCUUUCUCCCACUUAGAAAGAAAUGUGCUGAGUGCCUGUUGUGGGCCAGGCAUCUGCAAGACACAGGAGAUACGCAGUGAAUAAGCAAGUCAUUUCUUAAUCACGAUUAUGCUGCAGGAGGAGGAGGAGGAGAGGAGCUCCUUCUUAGCAGAUGGGCUACGUUGACUGAACUUCGCCGUGAAGCACUGUUGUCCCAUUUCAUCUGCCUGUCACUAGGAUUUUUGAGAUGAUGUGAAAAAGUUGAAUUCCAUCGGACACAUUCAAAAUCCUUGCUGAUUUGUUGACAUUCCCAGUUGUCCAGGUGGCAACAGCGACAUAUUCCAAGGCACAUUUGUCACAAGAGCCCGCUGCACGAGGGCCGAGCAAACAGAGGGGGACCCCGGGCAGCUUGUGGGGCCAAGAAAAGGGCUUUUGCGGUUUUGAAAUAAAGCAACUCAGCAAUCUACAAAUAUCCCUUGAUAGGCAGGUGGCUUCGGUGUCCCCUACCUUGCUCAGGUUGGUGCUACCUCUUAAGAAACCGAGGGACCAGGUGAGGACGAGUUGAGCAGACUUCUUACUGCAGGUGGGCCCUAGGUCCUGGAGUGUGGCACCUGGUGACAGGCUCCUGCCUCCAACCGCAGUGAACACUGAAUCCGUAAGACUCCAGCUGACCCUGCUCUGUCUCCAAGCAGAUGCUCCGAAGUGCACACACACACACACACACACACACACACACACAAUGCCGUUUCCUAAUUGAAUCUAAAAUGUAAGUGCUUUGCUGUUUAAAAGGACCUUGCUAUCUUGAUAAGAAAAACUAAUGAGAUGCCCUUUCCAGAGCCGGUCACACAAUAGCCCUAGUGACAAGGACCCCUAUCAAGAAAUAAAGCAGAAGAUAAAUGAGAUUUUUCUAAUAUCCAUUUCACCCAUUGUUCACAAGUGUCAGGCAGUACGGAUUCUAUUUAUCAUGGGGUAGGAGAGAGGAGACGUGCUUUUGUAAAGCAAGCCUAAAUUGUGGCAUCGCAUUUUCGGCCAUGGGUAAACCUCUUUUGUCACCUGGUAGAAAACAAAAGCAAGGCUUGGGAUUGCAGGGCAGAGACUGGAAGGUGUCCACAUUUCUGCAUUUUUUACCUCAGGGCUGCCAAUGCACAAGAAGUGAUCAUUUGGAAGACAGGGGAGAAAGAGAUUAUUUCUGACUCUGGACUAUAGGAGUCUACUACUUGUAACCCAUUAAAUUGUCACUGUGUCAAAUGUUCAAAAUGCAAAUGGAGACUAGGAAGUUGUCCCUUAAGACGGAUGCAACUUAGAUUGUUCAGAAGCUACAUUAAGACAAAAAGGUAGAUACAGAAGUUCAAUUUCAGGUCUAGGAGAAGGUUGGGUAUGUUUAUAGGAGCUCCCGGUGCUCUUCUCUCUAGAAUAGGGACUCCACAGGGUUCAAUACCUAUGUUGUUCCGUAAGAUGCAUGAUUAAUAAACGAGAGCCCUGGACAAAAUUAUCCGGUAGAAACCAAGGAAAGAUUUAAAUCUCUGUGGUCCGACUUUGCACAAAUUUGCAUUUAUAAGAAUGACAUAACUGUCAGUAAUCUGACCCUGCAAAGGGCCCACGCAAGUGAGAUGCUGAAAGGCUCAUAUGUCCUGUGCUGUUCAGCAUUACAGUGAAGGAAGCCCUGUGAUGGUUAAAACAUUUUUUAAUAUUUUACAUUUCAAGAGAGAAUUUCCUAAUCUGCAGACUCAGAGGGCUGUGGCGGCUCCAAUUCUCACAACUGCUGUUUACUGCGGAUGCAGAUGAGGAAUGUCCUUGUUCUUUGAGAGGGGGAGCGGCAGCGGGGCUGGCUGAGAGGCAAUCCACGUGGAGUGACAGGCCUGCUGGGGGUCUGGGGAUCUCAACACGCACCCCUUCCCUGGCUUCCGGGGUCUAAGCAGAGAGGGCGGGCCUCCACCUGCACCCCUGCUGGACCCACUGGGAAAAAGGAUGAUUUUGAGCCAAUGUUAAUUUACUCUUCUGGGAACUUUUACUCUUCCCUUUGCUAUUUUUAGAGGAAGUCUGCAUUUUUAAAAUAAGCAUUUCUUCUCCAAGAUUCUCACAUAUUUUCAUAUUAUGAGUGCCCUCUAACACUGUAGAGAUAAGCAUAGGGGGAGGGGGACAACACAAAUGCUAUCUUCUAACAGAUUUUCCUUUUCAAAAGAGCUAAAGAAAAUGCACAAAGGAUUCAUUUGCAUUUCAAUAAACACUUUCUCUCUCUAGUUGUUUCUGCGCUAGAAAGA